CGUUCUAUGGCCGAACUGGUGAAGGCAUCGCCUAUUACAGGCGAAGAUGCGGGUUCGAGUCCCGCUGAAACGG
rfam:Operophtera brumata OBRT01_Sc00226, whole genome shotgun sequence.